rnacentral:sRNA from 1 species
UGACUACUUCUGGGAAGUUGUUUCCCUACUCAUUUGUAUCAUAGCUAUUGUCUUGUUUCUGAUGUCACUUAUGUGUUGUCUGCCCCUCGGUGAUGUCAUAUCGCCCAUAGGCUUUGGUCUGACCGAAUCCUUCCUGUUGAUUUUCUUCGGGAUCGUCACAUUGAUUCUCAAAUAUGCAUACUUCAUGAACAUUAAAACUUUAAUUCUUGUCUACCUGGUGGCUUUAAUCAUUCCAAUG